rnacentral:rRNA from 1 species
AUGGCGCGCAUCGUGUCGCGGGCCCUCCCGUUCGCCUCGCGCUCGCACCUCCAUCUCUCCCCGCCCCUCCGCGGCGCGGCGCUGCUCAGCUCCACGUCGCUCCUCCCCCAUCUCCCUGCGGCGGCGUCCACGGCCUCUCUGCUCUCCUGGCGGGGGUUCACGCCCACCCCCGAGACCUCCCGCUUCGCGCAGCCUUUCGCGGGAUUCCUCUCUGGCAUACGCGGCUUCCGAAGGGCGCGACGCGGGCAGGCGGCGGCGAAGCGAGAGCCGCCGCAGGACCCUGCACCCCCGCCCCCGCCCAAGGAGAGCGAGAUAGAGCUCUGCGCCCGCAUCAGCGUCGAGGAUGAUUUGCCCGACGACGUCGAAGUGCUGAACGUCAUAGAAAUCAUGAAAUUAAAUGUUCCUAUGGCGAUGAAAAUUGCACUAGAUGGACUUCUGGAGUAUAACUACAAAACACGAGACACUUCAAUAAGUGACGUUGGAAAGUAUGAAAAGGUUGAGGUUUCUGUGUUGCUAUGCAACGAUAACUUCAUCCAGAAUCUUAACAAAGAAUGGAGAGGCGAGGACUGCGCUACUGAUAUGCUCUCAGUGUCACAGUUCAUUCCCGAUCUGGAUGUUCCUACUCUUAUGUUGGGUGAUAUAGUAAUAUCGGUGGAAACAGCUGCAAGGCAAGCUGAGGCGAGAGGUCAUACCCUUCUUGAUGAACUGCGGACACUAGUGGUUCGUGGCCUGUUACGUCUUCUGGGUUUUGACCGUCAUAGUGAUGAGGCUGCAAUGGAAAUGGAGAAGGAGGAGCUGCUCAUUUUAAAAAGUCUAAGGUGGAAAGGGAGAGGUCUUGCUAAGAACGCUCCUGAUUUGAGCAAGCCUCACACAGAAACAUUGGAUGGACAAGUAACAAACAGUCUAAAGAGAGCUGGCAGCCUGAGAUUUUAUAGACCAAAAUUCAAAUAUAUCUUCUGUGAUAUGGAUGGUACAUUGCUCAACAGUAAAAGUCAAGUAACAGCAAGGAAUGCAGAAGCUCUAAAGGAAGCUAGGUCAAGAGGAGUAAACAUAGUUAUUGCCACAGGAAAGACGCGCCCAGCUGCCAUUGAUGCUCUUAAUAUGGUUGAUUUAUCUGGAAGAAAUGGCAUUGUUUCAGAAUCUUCGCCUGGUAUAUUUCUUCAGGGGCUGUUGGUUUAUGGUUUGGAAGGGAGAGAAAUUUAUAGAAAUACAUUGAACCAAGAAGUAUGCCGAGAGGCAUUCUUAUAUUCUUUGGAGCACAAGGUACCAUUAGUAGCAUUUAGCCAGGAUCGGUGUUUUUCUAUGUUUAAGGACCCAUUGGUUGAUUCUCUCCAUGAAGUAUACCAUGAACCUAAGGCUGAAAUAGUGUCAUCUAUUGACCAGCUUUUAGGAACAGCUGAGAUACAGAAACUAGUGUUCAUUGGAACUUCUGAGGGAGUUUCUUCUACAUUGAGGCCAUACUGGACAAAGGCGAUAAAAGAAAGGGCUGGCGUUCUCCAGGCACAGCCUGAUAUGCUUGAGCUUGUACCACCUGCAACUUCGAAGGGCACCGGGGUGAAGAUUUUGCUGGACCAUCUUUGUAUCAGCCCGGAUGAGGUAAUGGCAAUUGGAGAUGGAGAAAAUGACAUAGAAAUGCUAGAGGUAGCAUCACUGGGUGUCGCUUUGGCAAACGGCGCUGAGAAGACCAAAGCAGUUGCAAACGUGAUCGGCGCCACCAACGACGAAGAUGGAGUUGCACAGGCCAUCUAUGACUACGCUUUCUAA